rnacentral:rRNA from 1 species
GACAGAGGCCCCAAGCGUUAGGCGGAAUUACUGGGCUUAAAGCGUGUGUAGGCGGACGCCUAAGUGUCUUGUGAAAUCCCACGGCUCACCCGUGGAACUGCUGGGCAUACUGGGCGUCUUGGGCCAACUAGGGGCAGCCGGAACAAGCGGUGGAGCGGUGAAAUGCGUAGAUAUCGCUUGGAACGCCGAAGGUGAAAACAGGCUGCUGGGGUUGCGCCGACGCUGAGACACGAAAGCCAGGGGAGCAAACGGG